ACAAUCCCAAUUCGAGUGAUUGAAGCUCAAAUCCCCAAACCACGCGUUCCCCCAUCCCUCUUUCCCCGUUCUAACGGAUUUCUGACGCGAGAUUCCCCUCCUCUCUCAGUCGCUCGAUGUAGAUGUGUAUCACAAUUGGAAGGUUCAAGAGGCGGAUUGGCUGGAUGAGUGUGAGGUGUUGGAUUGAUCUCAUUCAAUCUGAGCCCCACAUUCAUCAAGGAUUCGUUUUCAAAUAGGGCCAGUUCUCAUUUUGAGGUGGAGAGAAAAUUUUCCGAGGUGGAGAGAUUUUUCGGAAAGGAACUUGAGAGAUUAUUUUCAGUUUAUUUCGUUCUUAUAUUUCUGAUACUGGAACUACACAAAAAUGACUGAGGGUGCUGUUAUUUUAUUUUUCUUGCCGAUUAUUGUUUAGAGUUUUUGUCUUUGAGACCUCUAGAGCUCAUCUUUUCGUUAUAAUUCUGGAUUUUGUGUUAAAAUCGAAGUUAUUUGAAGUCGAAUCUGUUGCUGCUCGAGGACUGUUGUUUAGCUGCUGGUUAUUCUCUUUUGGUCAAUUUCAAUGUUGUGACGAAUUCCGUUUAAUUCCAGGUUUAUUCCUUUUCUUCUCAUAUGUUUCUUCCGCGAAGCAAAUCAUGGAUAAUUGUAAAUUGCCUAAGUUUGAGAUAAUAGCAAAGUUUGUGUGGUUGGUGUUAGGUGUAUUUACUGCCCCGCAUUCAACCUUUUCCAUGUUUCCUAUGUUGGUUAACGAGUGUUCAGAUGAUCCUCUUAUCUUAAAAUUCAUUUGAACUUGUAAGUGUGUGUGUUCAUCAGCCUCGUCUAUCACUGUUCGAUCAUAGUUUAGCUUUUUUUUUUAAAAAGAAUGUUUGAGAGUUGGUUUUUAAAUGGUCUGAAGUUUGAUUUUGCUUGGUGUUCUUUUAUCCUACUGUUCAAGUGGGUUUGUUGUUGCCAGCUGAAUGAGUUUGAAUGGCUCGUGUACUUUUCCGUUUCAUGCCUAUUUGUGUAUUAGUCGUCAUUCAGUGAAGUUGCCCGUAGUUUUCGUUCAUACCUUAAUGCUAAGAAUCUAUGGUUGUCUGAAGAUUUGAAUUUCAGUAAGUUGAAUCAGCUAUUUAUACACUCAAGUUUCCAGUAAUCUGCUGCACUUUUGGCUAGGAUUGGAUCACUGCAGUUGUUAUUCUAUUGAAAUUAGGACUAAAGAUGUUGGUCUAGCUGUGUGCUGAAGUUAGGCUGCUAGUUUUGUUCCUGCCCUAAAUGUUAGAAAUGUGCAGACCAUCUGCUUUGCUUCUUUCAACAUGAGUAUGCUGCGUAAGCAAUUUGAAGUGCUAGUUUCCGUUAGAGUGUUUGCUUUUGGCGACUGUGACUGUGAUAAUCGUGUUUCUUAGAUUUUGGUUUAAAACAAGAGGUUAAGUUAAAUUUGUCAUGCGAAAUAUGUAUGUGCAGAACUGCAUCCAUUCCUUCUCUUUCACCUGAAUAUCAGUCUUGCAUUUGAUCUUAAAAUAACUGAAUCAUCUCUGAUUUACCUUAGAUUGUAUUCACUACUCAUACUGUAUUGUCAACUAUAGAUCAUCUUUAGCCUCUUUGGAUAUUUGCGUAGACUGCUAUCCCUGCUGAAAAUCUGCGUUGAUUGCUGUUUGGGCAACAUAGUUCCACAAUUUUGAGUGCUAAUUCCGCAUUCAAAACCUGUCCUGUUUCUCUCUGUUUGAGUGCUAACUUUGAGUGCUAAUUAUGCUAAUUCUCAGUUUCUCUCUGAAGUAAGUUUUUCAGUUUACAGUUUGGUUAAUUGGGAUUUCUUCUUAUUCUUUCUACUGGGGUUUAGCUCAUGCACAAACUCUUGCCUUUCAAAACUUUCCCUUCUGUUUCUAUGGAGCUCUAAGCAUGAUUGAAUGCUCAACAG
rnacentral:lncRNA from 1 species